rnacentral:rRNA from 1 species
GAUGAACGCUGGCGGCGUGCUUAACACAUGCAAGUCGAACGAAGCACUUUAUUUGAUUUCCUUCGGGACUGAUUAUUUUGUGACUGAGUGGCGGACGGGUGAGUAACGCGUGGGUAACCUGCCUCAUACAGGGGGAUAACAGUUGGAAACGACUGCUAAUACCGCAUAAGCGCACGGUAUCGCAUGAUACAGUGUGAAAAACUCCGGUGGUAUGAGAUGGACCCGCGUCUGAUUAGCUAGUUGGCGGAGUAACGGCCCACCAAGGCAACGAUCAGUAGCCGACCUGAGAGGGUGACCGGUCACAUUGGGACUGAGACACGGCCCAAACUCCUACGGGAGGCAGCAGUGGGGAAUAUUGCACAAUGGGGGAAACCCUGAUGCAGCGACGCCGCGUGAGUGAAGAAGUAUUUCGGUAUGUAAAGCUCUAUCAGCAGGGAAGAAAAUGACGGUGCCUGACUAAGAAGCCCCGGCUAACUACGUGCCAGCAGCCGCCGUAA